rnacentral:rRNA from 1 species
GAUCAUGGCUCAGGAUGAACGCUAGCGGCAGGCCUAAUACAUGCAAGUCGAGCGGCAAGUCGAGGAGUAAUCUAAGACCUAGAGCGGCGCACGGGUGCGUAACGCGUAUGCAACCUACCUUAUACUGGGGGAUAGCCCGGAGAAAUCUGGAUUAAUACCCCAUGGCACAUAUUGAGGGCAUCUGAGAUAUGUUAAAGAUUUAUUGGUAUAAGAUGGGCAUGCGUUGGAUUAGCCAGUUGGCGGGGUAACGGCCCACCAAAGCGACGAUCCAUAGCCGGCCUGAGAGGGUGGACGGCCACAUUGGGACUGAGACACGGCCCAGACUCCUACGGGAGGCAGCAGUGGGGAAUAUUGCACAAUGGGGGGAAACCCUGAUGCAGCGACGCCGCGUGAAGGAAGAAGUAUCUCGGUAUGUAAACUUCUAUCAGCAGGGAAGAAAAUGACGGUACCUGACUAAGAAGCCCCGGCUAACUACGUGCCAGCCGCCGC